AGUAAUAGCAUAGGAAUCUGCCCGAUAGUGGGGGAUAACCUGGGGAAACCCAGGCUAAUACCGCAUACGCCCUACGGGGGAAAGCAGGGGCUCUUCGGACCUUGCGCUAUCGGAUGAGCCUAUGUCGGAUUAGCUAGUUGGUGAGGUAACGGCUCACCAAGGCGACGAUCCGUAGCUGGUCUGAGAGGAUGAUCAGCCACACUGGGACUGAGACACGGCCCAGACUCCUACGGGAGGCAGCAGUGGGGAAUAUUGGACAAUGGGGGCAACCCUGAUCCAGCCAUGCCGCGUGUGUGAAGAAGGCCUUCGGGUUGUAAAGCACUUUCAGUGGGGAAGAAGGCCUGGCGGUUAAUACCCGUCAGGAAGGACAUCACCCACAGAAGAAGCACCGGCUAACUCCGUGCCAGCAGCCGCGGUAAUACGGAGGGUGCGAGCGUUAAUCGGAAUUACUGGGCGUAAAGCGCGCGUAGGCGGCCAAGUAAGCCGGUUGUGAAAGCCCCGGGCUCAACCUGGGAAUGGCAUCCGGAACUGUUUGGCUAGAGUGCAGAAGAGGAAGGUAGAAUUCCCGGUGUAGCGGUGAAAUGCGUAGAGAUCGGGAGGAAUACCAGU
rnacentral:rRNA from 1 species